UCCCUGGAGGACUAGUGGUUAGGCCUCAGCGCUCUCACCACCGCACCACCGGUUCGAUUCUAGGCCAGGGAA